GAUGACUGAUUGAAUUUGAGCAUUGCAUUUGCUUAGUUUGCAAUUAUGAAGACCGAAUUAACCUUCGCUUAGUUGGGUGAUUCGUGUCAGAUUUGGAUUAGAGUAGUGUGUACUUGUCGUUAAUCUGUGAUUGGAAGCAUAGUAAUUGAGUUAAUGACCAACCGUUUUUAUUUUGUAUUUGGUUCUGUUUUGCAUUUCUGUUUUCCUCUCUGUUUGCAUUCCUGUUUUGAUUUUGUGUAUCCGCAUUAACAAAACCUUUCACAAAA
rnacentral:lncRNA from 1 species